rnacentral:rRNA from 1 species
AGAGUUUGAUCCUGGCUCAGGACGAACGCUGGCGGCGUGCCUAACACAUGCAAGUCGAACGGAGAAUUUCAAUAAGUUUACUUAGAGAAAUUUUUAGUGGCGGACGGGUGAGUAACGCGUGGGUAACCUACCCAUAAACCCGGGACAACCCUUGGAAACGAGGGCUAAUACCGGAUAAUCUUUAGGCUUGGCAUCAAGCUUAAAGAAAAGGUGGCCUCUGAAAAUGCUACCGAUUAUGGAUGGACCCGCGUCUGAUUAGCUAGUUGGUGGGGUAAAGGCCUACCAAGGCGACGAUCAGUAGCCGGCCUGAGAGGGUGAACGGCCACACUGGGACUGAGACACGGCCCAGACUCCUACGGGAGGCAGCAGUGGGGAAUCUUCCGCAAUGGACGAAAGUCUGACGGAGCAACGCCGCGUGUAUGAUGAAGGUCUUCGGA